GACGAACGCUGGCGGCGUGCCUAAUACAUGCGAGUCGAACGAACCGCGACUGAGUGCUUGCACUUGGUCAAGGUGAGUGGCGAACGGGUGAGUAACACGUGGGUAACCUACCUCAUAGUGGGGGAUAACAGUCGGAAACGACUGCUAAUACCGCAUAGGACAUAGGAUCACAUGAUCCAGUGAGGAAAGGUGGCGCAAGCUAUCGCUAAGAGAUGGACCCGCGGUGCAUUAGCUAGUUGGUAGGGUAAAGGCCUACCAAGGCGAUGAUGCAUAGCCGACCUGAGAGGGUGAUCGGCCACAUUGGGACUGAGACACGGCCCAAACUCCUACGGGAGGCAGCAGUAGGGAAUCUUCCGCAAUGGACGCAAGUCUGACGGAGCAACGCCGCGUGAGUGAAGAAGGUCUUCGGAUCGUAAAGCGCUGUUGUUAGAGAAGAACAGCGCAUAGAGUAACUGCUAUGCGUGUGACGGUAUCUAACCAGAAAGCCACGGCUAACUACGU
rnacentral:rRNA from 1 species